GGCAGUUCUUGGGUGACGCACCCUGGAAUCAGACUCCCUCCUCUCUGGUUCCGGGUGCGUCCCCAAGAACCGCA
rfam:Myotis brandtii contig158336, whole genome shotgun sequence.